CCCUGACAACGGCAUGGUGCCGUUGACUAACCCAGACAGGAGAUUAACAUG
ncrna:unclassified sequences Mu-gpT-DE RNA